UUGAAGUUGUGGCUUUUCCCUUCAAAUGACAGUUACAAAAGGCGCUGAGAAGAAUUUGGGUUUCAUUUGCUUCCUGUGUGAAGAUGAUGUAUGGUCUGACUGCCUUCCCAUUGCCCAGUGGUUGAAGUCAAUCCUUGAAAAAAAUCCGUGAAGGUUCCUUUUUGGCCUUGAAUAAUUUAAGAUUCUGGUUAACUUGUGCCUAUAUGUGGGUGUAACCUACCAUCUGGUGGUCAUUCUGUCAAUGUAACUGGAAAAAUUAAAGCUGGUUUUCUCAAAACCUUGGGCUGCUUCUCUUGAGUUUCAUCAUGUGAUACUGAGUUCCUGUUGGAGUUCCUGACUUCCUCAAUGAGAGCCUGUCAUGUGCAAGUGGGAGCUGAAACCACCUCUUUCUUCCCCUAUGCUGCUUCUGGUCAUGGAGUUUAUCACAGUAGCAGAAAGCAAACUAGAACUGGUGAAGGAUGUGAGAAAGAACCUUCAUCUGGUGAUGGAUGGAGAUAGAGACAGAGACCCACACUGGAGCACUGGACUGAGCUCCCAAGGUCCCAAUGAGAACCAGAUGGAGGGAGAACACGAGCAAGGAUGUCAGGACCACGGGGGGUGCACCCACCCACUGAGACAGUGGGGCUGAUCUAUUGGGAGCUCACCAAAGCCAGCUGGACUGUGACUGAAACAGCAUGGGAUAAAACCGGACUCUCUGAUCAUGGCGAACAAUGAGGACUGAUGAGAAGCCAAGGUCAAUGGCAAGGGGUUUUGAUCCUACUUCAUGUUCUGGCUUGGUGGGAGCCUAGCCAGUUUGGAUGUUCACCUUCCUAGACAUGGACGGAGGGGGGAGGACCUUGGACUUUCCACAGGGCAGGGAACCAUGACUGCUCUUUGGAUAGGAGAGGGAGGGGGAGAGGAGUGGGGGGAGGGGGAGGAGAGAGGGGGGAGGGGGAGAAGAGUGGGGGGAGGGGGAGGGAAAUGGGAGGCUGGGAGGAGGCGGAAACUUUUUUUUUCUUAUUCUCAAUAAAAUAAAAAAAAAAGAAUAGGCUACAAGGUAAGGUUGAGAGCACUGCCUGCUCUUCCAGAGGUCCUGAGUUCAAUUCCCAGCAACCACAUGGUGGCUCACAGCCAUCUGUAAUGAGAACUGGCACCCCUUCUGGCUUGCGGGCACACAUGGAAGAAAUGCUGUACACCUAAAUAAAUAAAUAAAUAUUAAAAAAAAGAAAAAAAAGAAAAAAAAAACUAGUCUCACGCUGAGUAUUUCAUGUAGAUGCACUG